rnacentral:lncRNA from 1 species
CCAGUGUUAGAUGGAUUGUUGCAUUGAUUGUUUCAAUUUUUGCAUUGAUUGGAACGAUUUUUUCUGCAGCAUAUCUUGUUGUUGAUUCUAUUCUUGAAAUUAGGCGUCAAAUCAAGUAUGAAAAUGGAUCACAAGACCCAGGAAACCAAUCUAGUGAUGUCCAAACGCAGCUUUUUCCAAAGAGCAGUACCACAGUAAGUGAAGACACCAGACCUGGAUCUGAUUCUGGGAACAGCUUGAAGACCUCUGCCUGAUGACCUGAGAGGCCUGAUGAUCAAUGAUCAAUGACACAGGUAUUGCAACAUGUAUAGUCUCUUCCACUUUACUAAAUAAUUGCAACAUUUAAACUGAUUUUCAUGUGUUACUGUAUGACAGAUCAAUUAUGCUCC